AUCGAACAGCGAAUCAGGUUUCGGAGGUAGGUCUCAUGUUUGUCGAUAAUGUGGUGCUCGCAGGGGUGGUCACGGUCGGCCUGAUGGUCGCCUUCCUCGGAGGCUUCGGAUAUUUCAUCUGGAAGGACGCGCACAAGAAGCGCUGAGUUCUUCCAGAUUCAAAGAGCACGCAAGGCAUUUAGGCGACCUAUGGUCGCCUUUUUUUUG
rnacentral:sRNA from 18 species